rnacentral:misc_RNA from 1 species
GAUGAAGAACGUAGCGAAAUGCGUUAAGUAAUGUGAAUUGCAGAAUUCAGUGAAUCAUCGAAUCUUUGAACGCACAUUGCGCCCGCCAGUAUUCUGGCGGGCAUGCCUGUUCGAGCGUCAUUACAACCCUCAGGCCCCCGGGCCUGGCGUUGGGGAUCGGCGGAAGCCCCCUGCGGGCACAACGCCGUCCCCCAAAUACAGUGGCGGUCCCGCCGCAGCUUCCAAUGCGUAGUAGCUAACACCUCGCAACUGGAGAGCGGCGCGGCCACGCCGUAAAACACCCAACUUCUGAAUGUUGACCUCGAAUCAGGUAGGAAUACCCGCUGAACUUAAGCAUAUCAAUAAGCGGAGGA